GGACUACACGGGUAUCUAAUCCUGUUUGCUCCCCACGCUUUCGCGCCUCAGCGUCAGUAACGGGCCAGUGUGUCGCCUUCGCCACUGGUGUUCUUCCGAAUAUCUACGAAUUUCACCUCUACACUCGGAGUUCCACACACCUCUCCCGCACUCUAGGUGCCCAGUAUCAAAGGCAGUUCCGAGGUUGAGCCCCGGGAUUUGACCUCUGACUUAAACACCCGCCUACGCGCCCUUUACGCCCAGUAAUUCCGAGCAACGCUAGCCCCCUUCGUAUUACCGCGGCUGCUGGCAC
rnacentral:rRNA from 1 species